GACGAACGCUGGCGGCGUGCUUAACACAUGCAAGUCGAACGGAAAGGCCCUGCUUUUGUGGGGUGCUCGAGUGGCGAACGGGUGAGUAGCACGUGAGUAACCUGCCCUUGACUUUGGGAUAACUUCAGGAAACUGGGGCUAAUACCGGAUAGGAGCUCCUGCUGCAUGGUGGGGGUUGGAAAGUUUCGGCGGUUGGGGAUGGACUCGCGGCUUAUCAGCUUGUUGGUGGGGUAGUGGCUUACCAAGGCUUUGACGGGUAGCCGGCCUGAGAGGGUGACCGGCCACAUUGGGACUGAGAUACGGCCCAGACUCCUACGGGAGGCAGCAGUGGGGAAUAUUGCACAAUGGGCGGAAGCCUGAUGCAGCAACGCCGCGUGCGGGAUGACGGCCUUGGGUUGUAAACCGCUUUCGCCUGUGACGAAGCGUGAGUGACGGUAAUGGGUAAAGAAGCACCGGCUAACUACGUG
rnacentral:rRNA from 1 species